GAUGAAAACGUAGCGAAAUGCGAUAAGUAAUGUGAAUUGCAGAAUUCAGUGAAUCAUCGAAUCUUUGAACGCACCUUGCACUCCUUGGUAUUCCGAGGAGUACGCCUGUUCGAGUGUUAUGAAGCUCUCAAAACGCAAUUGGCUUAAAACCUGAUUGUUGUUUUGGAUUUGAACUUUGCCGUGUUAUAACGGCUGGUUUUAAAAGUAUUAGCUGGUACUAGAACGAAUUGGUUCUACUCAACGUGAUAAUUAUCUGAUCGUUGAGGACAUUCCUUUCACGAGGAAUGGCCAUAGUAAAUUCAAUGGACUGCUUCUAAUCUGGCUUUAAUUCUUUAUUGGAUUAACCACUUUUCAAAUCUGACCUCGAAUCAGGUGGGACUACCCGCUGAACUUAAGCAUAUCAAUAAGCGGAGGA
rnacentral:misc_RNA from 1 species